UGGGGAAUAUUGGACAAUGGGCGCAAGCCUGAUCCAGCCAUGCCGCGUGAGUGAUGAAGGCCCUAGGGUUGUAAAGCUCUUUCACCGGUGAAGAUAAUGACGGUAACCGGAGAAGAAGCCCCGGCUAACUUCGUGCCAGCAGCCGCGGUAAUACGAAGGGGGCUAGCGUUGUUCGGAUUUACUGGGCGUAAAGCGCACGUAGGCGGACUAUUAAGUCAGGGGUGAAAUCCCGGGGCUCAACCCCGGAACUGCCUUUGAUACUGGUAGUCUUGAGUUCGAGAGAGGUGGGUGGAAUUCCGAGUGUAGAGGUGAAAUUGGUAGAUAUUCGGAGGAACACCAGUGGCGAAGGCGGCUCACUGGCUCGAUACUGACGCUGAGGUGCGAAAGCGUGGGGAGCAAACAGG
rnacentral:rRNA from 1 species